rnacentral:rRNA from 1 species
GAGUUUGAUCUUGGCUCAGAUUGAACGCUGGCGGCAUGCCUUACACAUGCAAGUCGAACGGCAGCACGGGAGCUUGCUCCUGGUGGGCGAGUGGCGAACGGGUGAGUAAUGCAUCGGAACGUAUCCUGGAGUGGGGGAUAACGUAGCGAAAGUUACGCUAAUACCGCAUAUUCUGUGAGCAGGAAAGCGGGGGACCUUCGGGCCUCGCGCUCUUGGAGCGGCCGAUGUCGGAUUAGCUAGUUGGUGAGGUAAAGGCUCACCAAGGCGACGAUCCGUAGCAGGUCUGAGAGGAUGAUCUGCCACACUGGAACUGAGAC